GAGAUGUAUUGCAUCUAGUGGACUAUGUAUUGGGACUCUUUAGGAAGAAUGCAAUAUGAAAAGAUAUGUGACUGAGGGAAGUAUAGGCAGGUAAACCUGCCGAUUGAGAGCGAAGUGAGAGGGAGGCUUGGACCGCACACGUUCUACCUGUGGGUGGUAGCAGCGUGUUGCGACAUAGAGGCACAAACCCGCCACCCGCCAAUUUAAACAGUAUUUAAGCACGAUCUAGG